rnacentral:tRNA from 1 species
ACCCCCCUAGUAUAACGUACAAGCGACUUCCACUCACUUAGUCCCAUGACCCCGUGGGGGGGGGUA